UCUCACGUCAUCGUGAGGGGGGGCAUUUCGGGAAGAUGUUCUUUCGAAGGGGGUUUCUCUCGCUGCCUUUGGUGGGCGGCGCCGUCGUGAUUGGGGUGGUUUCUGGCAAAGCAAUAUUUGGGCCUCCGCUUGAGGAGUACUGGACAAAAAAGCUUCAGGAAGAACCAGCAAAGGAGGGAGAUACAGGCAGCAGUUAGCAGUACUUGUAAGGAACUGCAAUGUGAUAUGAUUUGGGGAACGAGCUCUUUAAUGUAUCUCUGCAAUUGUGGUUCACCCAUUUUCCACAUGUGUAACUUGCAUAAUAAAUAAGGAAGUUUUUUUGGUGAAUGGAUAAUUCCUACAACUUUUGCUUAA